UCCCGGCUAGCUCAGUCGGUAGAGCGUCAGACUCUUAUCCAGGGCCUCUGCGAUCGAUCGCAGUAACAAAUCUGAAUGUCGUGGGUUCGAGCCCCACGUUGGGAG
rnacentral:tRNA from 2 species